UGACAACAGUCUAUUUAAGAAGCAGGAGGCAGGAGAGUCCAGAGGACUGGUCAGAAUGAUCCAGUGUAAGCAAGAUUGGACCCUUUCAUUGCCAGCUUAGAAGACAGAGAAAGGGAGCCGUGAGCCAAGGAAAGUGGGUGACCUCCAGAAGGUGGAAAAGGUAAAGAAACCAAGACCCCAAGAAGAUAAAGAUCUUGCCUAAGGACUUAAGGCGGGUGAUAAAAUACAAAAUCCAAAUGGAAACAAUGCAGGUUGUACCACAAGAGCAGAACCGUAAAAGGUGGAGAAAUGAGGGUAGAAACGGCAAUACCAUCAGGAUAAUGUUAUUGUGACUGAUCCUAGCUAUGAAUUCCUGCCCGGGUUCUUCAUAAAGAGAACACCAUGCAACGUACAAGCAAAAACAUCCUACAGAUUCCAGACAAGAACCUGAUCCAAAACCCAGAUCUCCUGACUUUCUACCAUGCUGUGUAGAGAUGCUGGCUCCCCAUUCUUCCCGGCACGAGUGAACUGUAGAUUCCCUAUGACAUCUUCAUUUUCUUCUACCCUUCAGUGGGCUGGAAGGCCAAGUCUCUCUGAUUAUAACUCAAGUGGACCCCAGGGGAGCCAGAGCUGGAGCAGGCCCACCAUCCCCACCUCUGGGUGAACAGUCCAAAGCACUGCAUCCCUCCUGGCACCAUCCUCCAUCUGCAAGUUCUCCUAUAGUUUCUUGGGGAGACGUCAGCCCCAACCCCUCAGCAGCACCGAAUCCCUCUUCCAAUAUGGGUCGGCACUGAUAUUUCACGGCUGACCGUGAGGAAAUAAGUUGGCCAAAGACCACACUGGCAUGGAGUGAGAAUUCCAGGGAGAGCAGAGAGGAUAAGCUAGUCCUGAAGGCCUCCCCACGUGGGCAUCCAGGCUGGAGGCUCAGGCCAACAAAGCUUUCCUGGGAAUCCCUCCCACACCAGGCCGAAAGGCGACUGAAGGCACAGUCUCUUGGGCCCCCUUCCAAAAGACUAACAGCCCGAUGCCACACCUACACCACCCCCAGAAGCCCAGCUGGGAGGGACAGAGGGAGGCAGAGAGGAAGGAAGACAGUGUGUCAAACAUCAGAGAAGUUUCAGGAAGCAAAGAGCCUAAUCAUGUCCUUAAUUAAAGUGCAGCUCCUGAAAAGUCUCCUCUGAAAUUGGACCAGCUCAAUUACCGUCUUGUCCUGACAACCCCCCUCCACCUUUCCUGGACCUCUUGCUCUAUAGCCUCUCAAAAGUCCAGCCUUCUCCAAAGUGAGAGCCCAUGGAGGCAUCUGCUGAAGACAAAGGAAAAACUGGCAUCUUGACUUGAAAACACUUGAAAGUCUCAGCCUGUGCACCAAAUACACAAAUUCUGGACCCCCACCUCCAUUCCCUACUGUGGUUGCUUCCUCUGUGGAGAUCGGCAACUCUGAGCAUCACUAGGAAGAGAGCGGGGCCACACUGGGGACAGCUGUGCCUGUAGAGACCUUGACAACUGACUUCAAUGCCCAACUUCCACGGGAGGUGAAGUGUUUGCCAAAAUGCACCCGGCUAGCUCUCCACUAGUCUUACGAGGGGGAAGCCAGCUCUGUGGGUAAUCUCACAGAGUAUUUACAUCUGCUCUUAGAAUAAAGGAUAAACUCUGAUCUUCUAAAAAUCGUUGCUUGCUUGUGCAGCAUUUGAUUUAUACCUUUAAUCAUGUUUUACUUCAUAUACUUAAUCAUGUUUUACUGACUUGCUGUGGGUCUUCUCAAGGCACAGCAACUGGAUGGGAGGCAGAGUGUCUGGGUGGGGCCCCAGCAUUGGGGUGUCCAGGCCCGGACGUGAACGCUCAUAGAGGAGACCCAGGAGUUCACUCCAUUGGGCUAAUGCCCAAGAACAAGUAAAAUGCCACAAGCAAGCAAAGGUGUUUCGUUUUAAGAGGCAAGUUCAUAUAGAGUCUUGACUUUUUGACUCAGCCCAGGACAGCCUUUGGGGACAGAGGUGCAGUAAGGUCCGUGGACUGAGACAGUGCUGUGGGUAUUUUCACCCUGGUUCUCAGCCCAGGGUCCUAUAGUUGGUUGAGCCAUCAAUGCCUGCAAGAGACAGGGGCAGAGUCCACAGGUCCCAGGGGCUGGGAGCAGGGAAGCCCAGGCUAUUGGGUUGUCUGUGUGGACCUGCUUUGAAAGGGCAGAGAUGGGUAUUAAUAGGGGGUCAGCUGUCCCCGGUCCUUCCCACUAUGCAUCCCAGUUUGUGGUGGGAAGUAGGUGAGUAGGGAGAAACCCUAUGCGAUUCUCAGUCUUAAUCAGAGACCUGUUUGACAACGGUGCCUCGUCUUUUUGCUUUAAACCUCAGGGUUACUUCUCUGAAACACCUGCAUAAAAAUUAAGUCAUACAUGAAGAGUAUGACUAAUUAUACACGUGUAAUAUAUAACCAUAUCUAAAUGUAUAGUGUAAACAAAAUGACAUGUUUGUAGAAUUAUAAAAU